rnacentral:rRNA from 1 species
GACGAACGCUGGCGGCGUGCUUAACACAUGCAAGUCGAACGGUAAGGCCCUUCGGGGUACACGAGUGGCGAACGGGUGAGUAACACGUGGGUGAUCUGCCCUGCACUUCGGGAUAAGCCUGGGAAACUGGGUCUAAUACCGGAUAGGACCCUGGGAUGCAUGUCCUGGGGUGGAAAGCUUUUGUGGUGUGGGAUGGGCCCGCGGCCUAUCAGCUUGUUGGUGGGGUGAUGGCCUACCAAGGCGACGACGGGUAGCCGGCCUGAGAGGGUGACCGGCCACACUGGGACUGAGAUACGGCCCAGACUCCUACGGGAGGCAGCAGUGGGGAAUAUUGCACAAUGGGCGCAAGCCUGAUGCAGCGACGCCGCGUGAGGGAUGGCGGCGUUCGGGUUGUAAACCUCUUUCAGCACCGACGAAGCGCAAGUGACGGUAGGUGCAGAAGAAGGACCGGCCAACUACGUGCCAGCCGCCGCGGUAA